UACGUAGGGGGCAAGCGUUGUCCGGAAUCAUUGGGCGUAAAGAGCGCGUAGGCGGUCCGGUAAGUCCGCUCUGAAAGUCCGGGGCUCAACCCCGGGAGGCGGGCGGAUACUGUCGGGCUAGAGUCCGGAAGAGGCGAGUGGAGUUCCUGGUGUAGCGGUGAAAUGCGCAGAUAUCAGGAGGAACACCAAUGGCGAAGGCAGCUCGCUGGGACGGUACUGACGCUGAGGCGCGAAAGCGUGGGGAGCAAACAGG
rnacentral:rRNA from 1 species